GACGGAGGGCGCAAGCGUUGUUCGGAAUUACUGGGCGUAAAGCGCGCGCAGGCGGGAAGAUAAGUCUGGAGUGAAAUUCCGGGGCUCAACUCCGGAGCUGCUUUGGAUACUGUCUUUCUAGGGACCGGUAGAGGCCGGUGGAAUUCCCGGUGUAGCGGUGGAAUGCGUAGAGAUCGGGAAGAACACCCGUGGCGAAGGCGGCCGGGCUGGGCCGGAUCCGACGGCUGAGGCGCGAAAGCGUGGGGAGCGAACAGG
rnacentral:rRNA from 1 species